CUCUUCCCCAGCCUCCCCCUCACACCGAGUCCACGCCCCUUCCUGUUCUCGCCAAACCUCUCCCUCUUCCGCAGCUCCACGCGCACAGAAGUUGACAAGAGAAAAUUUGGUGGCUGAUCCCCGCAUGCACUGUACAAUUACCAGUUUGCAGAAACCGUUCCAAGAACUUGUACGCCAGCAACACAAGCAUAAAGAAGAAAAGUAACCAGCACUAGAGGAUCACAUAUAACGAGAGACACGAAACACAUCAAAUGCUGGACAUCCGUCACCAGUCUACGGCCUCCAAACUCAAGUGGUGAGUCCCUGAGCCUUCAGCCCUCCCAACGGUAAGAACGCCUGCCGCAGUGUGAUUAUAACAUCUGCAACUUCACGUCAACAACUUGGACAAGCAGUUGUUGGGAUCACAUCGCACGUCCUAGAUCAUUAUGUUGAAGACGAGACUUUUACUGGUGUCGUCUCCUCUGUUUCUCUGGUUUGUUCAUCGCACUGGUGUCUGCCGCAAGGAAAAUCAGGUCACAUGCCCACAUGGGCGUUUUUCCCAGAAUAACCCAAUUCAAGGAAUCAGGGAUAUGUAUGUAUUAACCCCCGCCACGCCGCAGAUACCAUCAGCCCGCAGGAUGGGGAGAACACAGAGCUGCUGCGCUUGCUGCGACCACUGGGAAACGUACACGACUGGUGGCGGCAUACUGCCGUGGCGACAUUAUGGGCGGUAUUCAAUUAUUUUCACCCCCUUCCACACCCGUUCUGUUUCUGCUGACAUGUGUGGUAUAAUAUUUUCAGCUCACUACCCCUGGAGUAGCGAGGGCGCCCAACCCUUUACGCAGCUAAACCUGAUUACUAUGGGUGCGAUAUGUGCAAUAACGGGGAUCACUUUAGAAAGGAGAUUGGGCGUGAUAUAUAUCAUUUGAAUACCGCCCUAUAAAUGUAGAUAAUUAGAAUAACGCAUCUUCUGUUAUUGACGUAACUAACCCAGCAAUAUGUUUAGGGUCUGUAUGUGACUUGUGCUUUUAUCCGGCGUGGUGCUGCGGAAAGCGGGAAGAUGCGAGAAGGGCACUCGCACAGCACGCGUCUGCGAACACUGCGCUGGACUAAUUGUACACCCACACACACAUCCCAGCUCCAUAUGUCUGUCUUAAUUACACCGAGCAACAAAAUAAUGCAACUUUUUAGGAAAAAAAGGAAGAAAAAAAAACACAUUAAUCCCUGCAAUCUCCUUCAGGAAAGUUUUCCUGCAGGGUCUCAGCCUGGCAGACACGGGGUGCGGUGCCCGUGUUUAUCCGGUUCCUUCUGGACUGCCCCCGGACAUGACAUAAAACUAGGUUGCCCGUACAACCAAAGAGAAAUAUGUCUGCCUGAUUGAUAGACUGGCAUUGCUGAAGCACACAGCUAUGAGCCAUACAGGGAAAGCAAUGUAUUUAAACUUUCAAGAGGACAAGGUUGUAAAUUACAGUCAGCUGAAGGAGAACAGCCCCUUGAAUUACUUAAAAUAAAACACUGAUUGCUCUAUUUCAUUAAGCUAAUAGUGCUAAUUUCCUGAUAGUUAAACGCUAGGAACAGCUAAUUCAUAGACCCGGUGGAUCAGUUCGCAAAUCGAAGUCGUCUUUUCGGUCAGAUAGCUCCCUGGCAGAAUGUAUAGCCUGUAAUCCACUGCCAAAGACCCAGUGUGACGGGGAAAGCAUCCCUUGUGUACAGUAACCACCUAUGUCAGCGGUGAGAUUAGCGAUUUUUCAGAACGUAUAUUUGUUGGCUAUUCAGUCCAUUUUACCUAAGAAAGUCCAGAAUGUUCGACUUGAAGCGUCACACCGAAGACCUUCCCACCGGCGUGGCUCUGCCAGCACUCAGUCACCCAGAAAGGCUGGUGAAGCUGCCAAUGCGAAACAUUAUUUAGAAGAAACAGCCCGAAUUACACCUCGCCCUCUCCAGAUGAAUUAUAUCUAAAUAUAAAUUGCGGGAUUGAAGCCGUUUCUCUAAGCACUUCACAGCGUCGCACUACACUUAUACCUGCCGAUAUGACCCCGCUUUAUGACUAGGUAACCCUUCACUAGCGCUGUAUAUUUAUACAGGAAAUCACUAGGUGCACUUAACAAUAACAUAAUAAUACUCAUUAAUAUUAUUUUUUAGCCACUUAACAUAGAAAAGCAAAACGCUGGGGAAAUGUGGCUAAAUAAAGUGUUCGGGAGAAUAAUGGAGGGUUCUGUGAGUACGCUGUAGAGGGAGCAGAUUUUAUCCAGCGCUGAAUUAGAGAAAUACGAGAUCCUCGUUAACCCGAUAUUGUCUGGGCCGGACGCGGAGGUCGAGUCUCUCGGAGUCGUAGCGGAUUUGAUUCUCUCUCCGCAGCAGACAGACUAUAGUCCCAGUGGACGCAAGAUUAAGCGUGCUCCGGAUAAAAGAGCCUUUUGUUUUCUGGACGACCCCCCUCACCCUCCCAGAAAAUAGGGGAUAUCUCCUUUCCCAAACACCUGGAUCCUUGUAAAGUCCUGGGAGCUGUCUAAGGGGCAUCGAUAGAGAUCAGACCUGUCUCGUUAGGGCAGAGGACCUCAGGCUGCCAUAAUCUUAUCCCUAUAGCACUGUCGUGGCCCGCAGUGUUGUACAGGAUCAGACACACUGUGGUUUUGGACCCACAAUGUGAGCAGUGAUCAAAACAGAUUGAACCUGGAGGUUAACGGAGAAGCAGAACCGUAAACAGAAGCACAGCGUGAUAACGCUCGGAGUCACCGGCUCAUUGUUCUGUUCUAUAGUACCUGGCAGGGGUAUUGGGGUGAGACACGCCACAUCGACGGGCGGCUUAUGCUGUUACUCUCUAUGGGCCAAGUUCUACCAAAGUGUAGGAACCUGAAAAGCUUUCCUACAAAACUCUUGGAUGGAACAACUGUACAUUUUACUCCAUGUUCUAUGACAAAUUUUUCAUUUAGGAUGCAAAAAAAAAAAAUUCAAAAAUUCCUUAUAGUUUAAAAAAUAAUUUCUGGGCUUUCUCAACUGAGGUACAAAACAACGUAUGUAACAAACAACCACAUAAUGUGUGUUCUACAAUAGUGGUACUUUGACGUGGUGCCACCUCCGCUGUGUACUUGUUAGCGUCAGAAGUGGCGGAAUAAUUGGACUGAAUGUUAAAAAAACGCAAGAAAGACGACUUUAAGGCAAAAUCUCCGCCCCUCCCCAUCUUAUAUGCAAUACUCCUGUGUUUAUCAUAUGUAUGACAUGUCCCUUAUACAAUAGAUAUACACUUAGAGGACUGCAGUAGAGUUUCAAGCAAUUAAAUAUAUGUCCCAUGUAGAGAAAACUAAUUCCCCGGCACCCAAAGCCAAGUACCCCCGCCUGCAGCAGCGCAAGGCUUGCGGCUACCCCAGAGGGCGGGGAAAGUGGUUCUGCGGAACCUUUUGCUAGCUCUAGGUACAGCAUUGCAGAGCGUUAUUCAGGGAAAGGAGGGAAUCCAGAGGCAGAGGCCCCUAGUUGCUGCAUGUUAUAUGUACAUAGUAUGAAUUUAUAUUUGAUAAAUCAUUUCUUUAUAGAUCAUUUGGACCGCAUUUGGUGUCGAGAGUCGAUUCAGUUAGAGAGGGUAACUGUGCAGCGUGGUAACAUGACGCUGGGCUGCAGAUGGGGUAAAAUGUAAAAAGUGCAGA